UAACAUGUUUGUGGCGUUGUCUGACACU
rnacentral:sRNA from 1 species